rnacentral:lncRNA from 1 species
AAUACAUGUACCUCAAUAAUUUUAUCAAGGGCAUGUUUUGUGCUAGAUACUACUCUUUAUGUUAGGAAUAUAAGCAAUUGUAUAAGAUACUUACAGAUUGCAGUAAGUGGUAAAAAAUAUAACAUGAAGAGGGAAUAGUGAUGAGAAGGUAACUAUAUAGGGGAGUGGUCAGGGAGUGCUUCACUGAAGAUGUAAAAUAUGAACUGAAACCUAUAUCCUGAUUUAAAAUAGCUUUGCAGAUGUUUUAGGUAAAUAGCAGCAAGCGAACAAUACCAAAGUUUUUAUUUUUGUAAUUUGAAAUCAAUGUGCAAGCCAGAGCUUCUUUAGGAAAGACCAUUCCUGAGAGAACAACAGGAAGAAAUAUGAAUGUUAAACAUGUGGUGCCGUGUGGAAGCAAAGCUCCAUAAUUAAUCUAUAGAGCCAUCACCACUGUCAAAAGCAGAAAGGCCCCAGAGGAAAUAAUUUUUGUAUAGAAUGAUGGCAGCAUUAGUGACAGCAGUAAUGAUAAGACACUGAAAAAGGGAAUCAGAGCUAUUUCCAUGAAUUAAUGUCUUAAUCCCCACAACAAUGAGGUCGUGGUCAUCUAGUUGUAGAAUGACUCCUGCCUGCUACAUUUCCCCAGAUACCCAGGACCUUCAUGCUGUCACUCUCCAUGACCUGACCAACAUCUAUUUUGAGAAAUUAUUUUAUAUACUCAUUCAAACAGUCAUCUUUUGUGUCCAGAGUUGGUUCCUUCUGGUGGGUUCGUGGUCUCGCUAACUUCAAGAAUGGAGCCACGGACCUUCGCGACACUUCUAUUUAAACUUCUUGGAAGGAUAUCUCAAUAACAUUCCUUUGCUGAGGACCAUAAGAUAGAAGAUGAGAAUCCAUCUGCCCUCUUCUCUGCACCCAGGCUUCAAUCCUGUUUGAUCAUGCAGGGGCUACAAGGCCUUCGACACAAAGAACUUGUCUUAGAUUCUAAUCAGUUUAACAAAUAGGACAGACAGCUGCUGAGCACUGUCUGAGUGACACUGAUUUACAUACAAAUGAACCACCAAUGUCCCCUUCUAUCAACUCAGAAUAAAAUCUGGUUUUAGCAUAUGCAGUCCUACGAGACAUGGUUAAAGGAUAUGAAUGAUAGAUAGAGAUAAAAGAAAUCAAGGACCAUUCCUCCACAAGUCUCCAAAGAGGAAAACAACAAUCGAAGAAAAAAGAGUGAGAGAACA